UGGGAGGUGAUGAUUAUUUCCCCAAAUGAUCGAAGCUGAAUACACCGAGCGA
rfam:Ricinus communis cultivar Hale ctg_1100012299349, whole genome shotgun sequence.